UACAUGGGGUGCAAACGUUGCUCGGAAUUACUGGGCGUAAAGGGCGCGUAGGCGGUUCGAUAAGUCCCGUGUGAAAUCCCUCGGCUCAACUGAGGAACUGCACGGGAAACUGACGGGCUUGAGUUCGGGAGAGGGAAGCGGAAUUCCGGGUGUAGCGGUGAAAUGCGUAGAUAUCCGGAGGAACACCGGUGGCGAAGGCGGCUUCCUGGACCGACACUGACGCUGAGGCGCGAAAGCUAGGGGAGCAAACGGG
rnacentral:rRNA from 1 species